GCCUCUCGAGGAGGGGAUUACCGUUUAGGAAACGAACGUUAACUACCCCAUAACGUAUCUUGAUCGCAUGGUCUUGAUACCAAAGAUUUAUCGCUGAGAGAUGGCCUCGCGUCUGAUUAGAUAGUUGGUGAGGUAACGGCCCACCAAGUCUGCGAUCAGUAGCCGGACUGAGAGGUUGAUCGGCCACAUUGGGACUGAGACACGGCCCAGACUCCUACGGGAGGCAGCAGUGGGGGAUAUUGCACGAUGGGCGAAAGCCUGAUGCAGCGACGCCGCGUGAGGGAAGACGGUUUUCGGAUUGUAAACCUCUGUCUUCGGGGACGAAAAUGACGGUACCCGAGGAGGAAGCCACGGCUAACUACGUG
rnacentral:rRNA from 1 species